rnacentral:rRNA from 1 species
AGAGUUUGAUCCUGGCUCAGGAUGAACGCUAGCGAUAGGCCUAACACAUGCAAGUCGAGGGGCAGCGAUGGUAGCAAUACCAGUCGGCGACCGGCGGAUGGGUGAGUAACACGUAUGCAACCUGCCUUCAACAUUGGAAUAACCCGUUGAAAGACGGACUAAUGCCUUAUAACACAGGGGCGCCGCAUGGCGAUAUUUGUUAAAGAUUUUAUCGGUUGAAGAUGGGCAUGCGCAUGAUUAGUUAGUUGGUAAGGUAACGGCUUACCAAGACAACGAUCAUUAGGGGUUCUGAGAGGAAGGUCCCCCACACUGGUACUGAGACACGGACCAGACUCCUACGGGAGGCAGCAGUGAGGAAUAUUGGUCAAUGAGCGAGAGCUUGAACCAGCCACGUCGCGUGCAGGAAGAAUGUCUUAUGGAUUGUAAACUGCUUUUUCGGUAGAGUAAUGUGCGUCACGUGUGACGUAUUGCAAGUAUACCGAGAAUAAGGAUCGGCUAACUCCGUGCCAGCAGCCGCGGUAAUACGGAGGAUCCGAGCGUUAUCCGGAUUUAUUGGGUUUAAAGGGUACGUAGGCGGGAUGAUAAGUCAGCGGUGAAAUUUUGCAGCUUAACUGUAAGCUUGCCGUUGAAACUAUUAUUCUUGAGUGUAGAUAAGGUAGGCGGAAUGUGUUGUGUAGCGGUGAAAUGCUUAGAUAUAACACAGAACACCAAUUGCGAAGGCAGCUUACCGGGUUACCACUGACGCUGAGGUACGACAGCGUGGGGAUCAAACAGGAUUAGAUACCCUGGUAGUCCACGCCGUAAACGAUGAAUACUCGCUGUUUGCGAUAUAGUGCAAGCGGCCAAGCGAAAGCAUUAAGUAUUCCACCUGGGGAGUACGUUCGCAAGAAUGAAACUCAAUGAAUUGACGG